UUUAAUGAGAGUUUGAUCCUGGCUCAGGACGAACGCUGGCGGCGUGCCUAAUACAUGCAAGUAGAACGCUGAGGUUUGGUGUUUACACUAGACUGAUGAGUUGCGAACGGGUGAGUAACGCGUAGGUAACCUGCCUCAUAGCGGGGGAUAACUAUUGGAAACGAUAGCUAAUACCGCAUAAGAGUAAUUAACACAUGUUAGUUAUUUAAAAGGAGCAAUUGC
rnacentral:rRNA from 1 species